UAUGUACUCCCUUCAUCUGAAAAAGUUUGUCCCCCAAAUGUAUGUACCUAGCACCAAGUUAGUGCUAGAUACAUCCAUUUGACGGACAAACUUUUUCGGACGGAGGAAGUAUGAU
rnacentral:pre_miRNA from 1 species